GCUUCCGUGGCGCGAUGGGCAGUGCAUUCGGCUGUUAACAGAAAGGUCGGUGGUUCGAGCCCACCCAGGAGCG
rnacentral:tRNA from 1 species